UGUCAUGACCGGCAGUACGCAAGCGUUG
rnacentral:sRNA from 1 species